UAGGGAAUCUUGGACAAUGGGCGAAAGCCUGAUCCAGCCAUGCCGCGUGAGUGAAGAAGGCCUUAGGGUUGUAAAGCUCUUUUAGCGGGGAAGAUAAUGACGGUACCCGCAGAAUAAGCCCCGGCUAACUUCGUGCCAGCAGCCGCGGUAAUACGAAGGGGGCUAGCGUUGUUCGGAAUUACUGGGCGUAAAGCGCACGCAGGUGGAUUGAUAAGUCAGGGGUGAAAUCCCGGGGCUCAACCUCGGAAUUGCCUUUGAUACUGCCAGUCUUGAGUCCGGGAGAGGUGAGUGGAAUUCCUAGUGUAGAGGUGAAAUUCGUAGAUAUUAGGAAGAACACCAGUGGCGAAGGCGGCUCACUGGCCCGGUACUGACGCUCAGGUGCGAAAGCGUGGGGAGCAAACAGGAUUAGAUACCCUGGUAGUCCACGCCGUAAACGAUGGAUGCUAGCCGUUGGGGAGCUUGCUCUUCAGUGGCGCAGCUAACGUCUUAAGCAUCCCGCCUGGGGAGUACGGUCGCAAGAUA
rnacentral:rRNA from 1 species